GGAGAUGGUAGUAAAAAGUCGUAACAAGGUCUCCGUUGGUGAACCAGCGGAGGGAUCAUUACAGAGUUGCAAAACUCCCACAAACCAUCGCGAAUCUUACCCGUACGGUUGCCUCGGCGCUGGCGGUCCGGAAAGGCCCUCGGGCCCUCCCGGAUCCUCGGGUCUCCCGCUCGCGGGAGGCUGCCCGCCGGAGUGCCGAAACUAAACUCUUGAUAUUUUAUGUCUCUCUGAGUAAACUUUUAAAUAAGUCAAAACUUUCAACAACGGAUCUCUUGGUUCUGGCAUCGAUGAAGAACGCAGCGAAAUGCGAUAAGUAAUGUGAAUUGCAGAAUUCAGUGAAUCAUCGAAUCUUUGAACGCACAUUGCGCUCGCCAGUAUUCUGGCGAGCAUGCCUGUUCGAGCGUCAUUUCAACCAUCAAGCUCUGCUUGCGUUGGGGAUCCGCGGCUGUCCGCGGUCCCUCAAAAUCAGUGGCGGGCUCGCUAGUCACACCGAGCGUAGUAACUCUACAUCGCUAUGGUCGUGCGGCGGGUUCUUGCCGUAAAACCCCCCAUUUCUAAGGUUGACCUCGGAUCAGGUAGGAAUACCCGCUGAACUUAAGCAUAUCAA
rnacentral:rRNA from 1 species